rnacentral:lncRNA from 1 species
GUCGACAGAAAACUGUAGAUACGAAGACGUGCUGCCGUAAUGAAGGCUGUCGUGGGAUACAAGGCCAGUUCUGUGGUCCGUGUCUUCGGAACCGAUACGGCGAAGACGUCAAAGUGGCCCCUCUGGAUCCGGUCAGUAUAAGGAGAGUGAAACAGUAUGAAAAUAUGUUCCUACCUUAUCAUAUAUGUGAUCAGUAUAUUAAUAGUACUGGCAUUGUGUUUAAAGAUCUGGAAAAAAAUAAGAGGCCACUUAUUGAUUUUCUUUGAUUUUACCAAAUUAAAAAUCCUCUGGAGUUGUUGCACCAGGAGUGUAAAGGCAUAAAGUUUUCCAAAAGCAGUGUGUAAGACUAGUGGAGGAGAACAUGCCAAGAUGCAUGAAAACUGUGAUUAAAAACCAGGGAUAUUCCACCAAAUAUUGAUUUCUGAACUUUUAAAAUUUUAUGAUUCAUAAACUUUUUUUCUUUAUAUUCUUUGAAAAAGAUGCAGAGCUUUCAGACCUUAGCCAUUUCUUAUUUUCUGCAAAUAAAUGCUCUAAAUUACUUUUUCUUUUUUUUUUGUUUGUAAUUUAGGAGAAAUGUUGUCUGUAGUUUAUCGAGUAAAACAACAAUGUUCAUUUUAAUCGAACAUAUACCUAUAAAUAGUAAAAUCAGAAAAACUGAUUCAGAAACUGAAGUGGUCUCUUAAUUUUAUCCAGAGCUGUAUAUAAUUGUUGUUAAAUUUAAUCCUUAAGUAUAACAACAAUAAAUUAAAUGGAGAACAGUUCUGUAUGUCUUCCUCCAAGAAACCCCAGGAUCUUAAUUUUAGAGAUGUUUGUUCAGAAUGGGUCAGUAAAGUAAAUACUCAGACAGAAAUUUGGUUAGUUGAGGAAGGUAACGCGUGGUGUUGUGAUGUUCACAGGGCUGGCAUUGUCCUCCGUGUCGUGGAAUCUGUAACUGCAGCUUUUGUCGUCAGCGUGACGGUCGCUGUCCGACAGGCAUUCUGUUCCCGCUGGCUCAGUACCACGGCUUUUCUGAUGUUCACUCUUACCUGUGCAGUCUUCGUAACAAAUUGAAAGAUGAGGAAGAAGACCUUUAACAGGAAGAACAACAUUUGGACAGAAGAUGUUUACAUGUUUAAAUUCAACGAUUUGUACAGAUUUUAUACUUUUAAUAAAAUAUAUUUUACAGUAUUUCUUCA